GAUAGAUGGAAGUUCUGUCUUGCAACAUCAAUUGAUGUGCCUGCUAGAUGAGAAAGAGUGGGUAAAUGAUGAUGUGAUCAAUGCAUAUAUAUGUUGUAUAAAGGACCAAAUACAUCUCCAGAAUGAUAAUAAAGUAUAUUUUGAGAGUCCAUUUGUUACCUCACUAUUUAAACGAGAUGGCACCAUUGGAAUACAAGAAGGUAGUGCCUUCAUGACAGAGAUUGUCCUCGAAUAUAUGCAGCAUGACAUGAUUAAACUUCCAAUAAAUGCCAAUAACACACAUUGGUAUUUAGCUGUUGUGAAUACAAAAAAAUGUGAGGUUCAAGUUCUAGACU